GACGAUGUCACAUAUACUGGUGGUGGUGGAGAAUGAGGCGUGUAUGUUGGUGGCUCGUAAUGUACUGGUAGAGGUGGUGGUGGUGAUUGAGGUGUGUAAAUUGGUGGCUCGUAAUGUACUGGUGGCGGCGGCGGCGGCGAUUGAGGUGUGUAUGUUGGUGGCUCAUAAUGUACUGGUGGUGGAGGUGGUGGUGGUGAUUGAGGUUUGUAUGUUGGUGGGGCGUAAUGUACUGGUGGCGGUGGAGGUGAUGGUGAUGGGUGGUGAUAAUAUAUUGGACUUGGUGGAGGUGGAGCGUGACGAGUUACAGGUGAAAUUUUGUGGGUAGGAGGUGGUGGACUUCUGUGUUUAUGCGACGGAGAAGUACUGUAAAGAGGUGGUGGUGGUGAUGGCGGAGGAGUUGAUUGAGGUGGCGGCGGAGACCGCAUAAAAUGGGAACCCGAAGAUUUG
rnacentral:lncRNA from 1 species